rnacentral:rRNA from 1 species
AGUGAACGCUGGCGGUAGGCCUAACACAUGCAAGUCGAACGGCAGCACAGUAAGAGCUUGCUCUUACGGGUGGCGAGUGGCGGACGGGUGAGGAAUACAUCGGAAUCUACUUUUUCGUGGGGGAGAACGUAGGGAAACUUACGCUAAUACCGCAUACGACCUACGGGUGAAAGCAGGGGAUCUUCGGACCUUGCGCGAUUGAAUGAGCCGAUGUCGGAUUAGCUAGUUGGCGGGGUAAAGGCCCACCAAGGCAACGAUCCGUAGCUGGUCUGAGAGGAUGAUCAGCCACACUGGAACUGAGACACGGUCCAGACUCCUACGGGAGGCAGCAGUGGGGAAUAUUGGACAAUGGGCGCAAGCCUGAUCCAGCCAUACCGCGUGGGUGAAGAAGGCCUUCGGGUUGUAAAGCCCUUUUGUUGGGAAAGAAAAGCGGCAGGUUAAUACCCCGCUGCUCUGACGGUACCCAAAGAAUAAGCACCGGCUAACUUCGUG